rnacentral:rRNA from 16 species
GGUAGCAGCAAAUAUUCAAAUGAGAACUUUGAAGGCCGAAGAGGAGAAACGUUCCAUGUGAACGGCACUUGCACAUGGGUAAGCCGAUCCUAAGGGACGGGGUAACCCCGGCAGAUAGCGCCAUCACGCGCAUCCCCCGAAAGGGAAUCGGGUUAAGAUUUCCCGAGCCGGGAUGUGGCGGUUGACGGCGACGUUAGGAAGUCCGGAGACGCCGGCGGGGGCCUCGGGAAGAGUUAUCUUUUCUGCUUAACGGCCUGCCAACCCUGGAAAUGUUUCAGCCGGAGGUAGGGUCCAGUGGCCGGAAGAGCACCGCACUUCGCGCGGUGUCCGGUGCGCCCCGGCGUCCCAUGAAAAUCCGGAGGACCGAGUACCGUUCACGCCCGGUCGUACUCAUAACCACAUCAGGUCUCCAAGGUGAACAACCUCCGGCC